rnacentral:rRNA from 1 species
AUUGAACGCUAGCGGGAUGCUUUACACAUGCAAGUCGAACGAGUGGCGGACGGGUGAGUAAUAUAUCGGAACGUGACCAGUAGCGGGGGAUAACUACUCGAGCGAGUGGCUAAUACCGCAUACUCUUGGAGCGGCCGAUAUCGGAUUAGCGAGUUGGUGGGGGAGAGGCUCACCAAGGCAACGAUCCGGAGCUGGAUUGAGAGGACGACCAGGCACACUGGGAUUGAGACACGGCCCAGACUCCUACGGGAGGCAGCAGUGGGGAAUGUGGGACAAGGGGGGAAACCCUGAUCCAGCCAUCCCGCGUGUAUGAGAAGGCCUUCGGGUUGGAAAGUACUGUUGGAGGAGAAGCGGUAUCUGCAGAAUAAGCACCGGCUAACUACGUGCCAGCAGCCGCGGUAAUUC